rnacentral:rRNA from 1 species
GACGAACGCUGGCGGCGUGCCUAAUACAUGCAAGUCGAGCGCAGGAAGCCGUCUGAACCCUUCGGGGGGACGACGGUGGAAUGAGCGGCGGACGGGUAAGUAACACGUAAAGAACCUGCCCAUAGGUCUGGGAUAACCACGAGAAAUCGGGGCUAAUACCGGAUGUGUCAUCGGACCGCAUGGUCCGCUGAUGAAAGGCGCUCCGGCGUCGCCCAUGGAUGGCUUUGCGGUGCAUUAGCUAGUUGGUGGGGUAACGGCCCACCAAGGCGACGAUGCAUAGCCGACCUGAGAGGGUGAUCGGCCACACUGGGACUGAGACACGGCCCAGACUCCUACGGGAGGCAGCAGUAGGGGUUCUUCCACAAUGGACGAAAGUCUGAUGGAGCAACGCCGCGUGAACGAUGAAGGCUUUCGGGUCGUAAAGUUCUGUUGUAAGGGAAGAACAAGUGCCGCAGGCAAUGGCGGCACCUUGACGGUACCUUGCGAGAAAGCCACGGCUAACUACGUGCCAGCAGCCGCCGCAGUAA